CAGAGUAGGAAGCGGCGCGUAAAGUGCCGGAGAAUGGGAAGUUGUCUCCGGACGAAGGAUGUCCCGCGAUGCCGUUUCCGCAUCCGCUGC
rnacentral:ncRNA from 1 species